UGAGCGGCUUCUCUCUCAGUGGUUCUUCGGCUCUCCUUCUCUUUAGGGUUCACGAUGAGUGUCUGCUAUUUGGUUCUCUGCUCGCCUUCUCCCAUCUAGAGUUAAUUGGACGCGAUUAUUCUUCUCCCGGACAUUCUCAUUCAGAUUAGAGGGACUAGUGAACUGGCUCAAGAGGUGUCCCUUUGUUCUGUAAUUUGUACAAGAAUUAGUGGAGUGCCUUAGCUAUUUUGGACUAUUUUGUGGAGGUGAUAACUUUGGAGCAGAUUUUUGAGAUUAAGCAUGUAAUCAGAUUGAAGUGUGGUAGAACAUUUUAAUUAAGUGAUAGUGAUAAACUUUUUCUUAUUAUGGAGUAAACUUUAAAAUGUACUCGUAUGUGAACGUUAUUUGAUGAUUG